CUUUUUUAAGAAUUUCUUAUGAAUUUUGUGUUUGAUUUUUUAUUCCAAGUUAUUCAUUCCCUGCGAAAUACGCGAUUACAGCGCCCCAACGAUGAAACACGCAAUAUACUUCCUGUGAUUCUCGGACUCUAAUCGAUAUUUCUCAUGAUCGAUUUUUCAGCGGCAAACAUGGCGGAAAGGAGUGACACCUCAUCUGUGAAGAAGAAAGUAUUUUCCAAAACAAUUAUCCAGAAAGAGAUAAAACGUACAUUUUUGGCUUCAAGACAAGAAAAUUUUUAUGACCGUGCGCAAUGUGGUUGGUAGAGUUAGUGUUUGUUGCGAAAUUUUUUUUAUAUUUUUCUGAGCAAAAUGGCUCUCAUUAAAUUAAUUAAUUCAAUCCAUUCAAAUUGUAAUUCGCGAAGUUAGAGUCAGUGAGUCUGCAAACGCGCGCGUUGAUAGUCUUUUAUUUUUCUUUUUUUGUAUUUUCUUCUGUUCAAUAUUCGGUUUCGCUGUUAGAGUCAGUGCUCAAGAGGAUAAGAUCUCUCCUGGAGAUCAAGAUAACGCUUCACAGCAUCAAGUUUUGCAUUUUUUGGGGAAAAUCCAACGGUGGCUCUAAAGUCAAUAAUGUAAGAAUCUUUCAUUACCUCCAACUUAAGAUUUUGCUUUUAAAUAUAAAUUCUAAUGUUUAAUGUUUUGUUACAGAUCUUCUAGAGUC